AAUCAACGCUGGCGGCGUGCCUAACACAUGCAAGUCGAACGCGAAAGUCCCUUCGGGGAUGAGUAGAGUGGCGUCCGGGUGAGUAACGCGUGGGUAAUCUACCUUUGGGUGGGGAAUAACCCAGGGAAACUUGGGCUAAUACCGCAUAAUGCAGCGGCUCGACAUCGAGACAGUUGUUAAAGCAGCAAUGCGCCUGAAGAGGCGCCUGCGUCUGAUUAGCUUGUUGGUGAGGGAAAGGCCCACCAAGGCGACGAUCAGUAGCUGGUCUGAGAGGAUGACCAGCCACAUUGGGACUGAGACACGGCCCAAACUCCUACGGGAGGCAGCAGUGGGGAAUCUUGCGCAAUGGGCGAAAGCCUGACGCAGCCAUGCCGCGUGAAUGAUGAAGGUCUUAGGAUUGUAAAAUUCUUUCACCGGGGACGAUAAUGACGGUACCCGGAGAAGAAGCCCCGGCUAACUUCGUGCCAGCAGCCGCAGUAACAC
rnacentral:rRNA from 1 species